rnacentral:rRNA from 1 species
AACGAACGCUGGCGGCAGGCUUAACACAUGCAAGUCGAGCGCCCCCGCAAGGGGAGCGGCAGACGGGUGAGUAACGCGUGGGAAUCUACCCAGUUCUACGGAAUAACACAGGGAAACUUGUGCUAAUACCGUAUACGCCCUACGGGGGAAAGAUUUAUCGGAAUUGGAUGAGCCCGCGUUGGAUUAGCUAGUUGGUGGGGUAAUGGCCUACCAAGGCGACGAUCCAUAGCUGGUCUGAGAGGAUGAUCAGCCACACUGGGACUGAGACACGGCCCAGACUCCUACGGGAGGCAGCAGUGGGGAAUAUUGGACAAUGGGCGAAAGCCUGAUCCAGCCAUGCCGCGUGAGUGAUGAAGGCCCUAGGGUUGUAAAGCUCUUUCGCCCGCGAAGAUAAUGACUGUAGCGGGAGAAGAAGCCCCGGCUAACUUCGUGCCAGCAGCCGCGGUAAU